rnacentral:rRNA from 1 species
UACGUAGGGUGCGAGCGUUGUCCGGAAUUAUUGGGCGUAAAGGGCUCGUAGGCGGUCCAUCGCGUCGGGAGUGAAAAGCUGGGGCUUAACCCCAGUCCUGCUUUCGAUACGGGUGGACUAGAGGUAGGCAGGGGUGAAUGGAAUUCCUGGUGUAGCGGUGAAAUGCGCAGAUAUCAGGAGGAACACCGAUGGCGAAGGCAGGUCUCUGGGCUGACACUGACGCUCAUGCACGAAAGCGUGGGGAGCAAACAGG